rnacentral:lncRNA from 1 species
GGAUGGAGGACCAAAAUAACGACUGUCUGCGGCAGCAUCCACUUGGCACUGGGCUCGACGAGAACAGCGAGCAUUCAAAUGCCACUUUCACCCACCUACGUUGAGGCUCUCAGGUACUUUAUCCGAUUUUGAGAUAUAUUAAUUAGUAUUUUUUCAAGUUCAUCCCACCGUAGAGUGACCGAUGAAAACAGCGCUGGCGCAGCACAGCUCAAUGAUCAGACGAUGAACAUCAGACAGCAGAUUGCAGCUCCAGCUCGAAAACAUCAUCACAUCCGUUCUUGUGAACUCCUCUCUCGAGUUCGAAGUAUCGGCAUUGUGGAUGGUUCAGCAGAACAGCAGGUUCAGGACAGCCCAAUCGAUGCUGCCCAGGCAAGCGGCAGUGACCCUCCUUCUAGAGCGAAUAGAGAAAGACCACAGUCUGAAUGGUCUUGCCGAGGCCCAUCUCAUCGGCUAGAAUGGUGUCGAUGGCCUGUCGAGGCUCUUCAGGUACUUUAUCCGAUUUUGAGAUAUUUUAAUUAGUAUUGAUUCAAGUUCAUCCCACCGUAGUGUGUGCGAUGAAAACAGCGUUGGCGCAGCACAGCUCAUUGAUCAGACGAUGAACAUCAGAUAGCAGACUGCAGCUCCAGCUCGAAAACAUCAUCACUUCCGAUCUUGUGAACCAAGUACCAAGCGGAUGCUGCCGCAGACAGUCGUCAUUUUGGUCAUCCAUCCAGGUGGUAAACUUGGGACGACCCACGGCAUCGCGAUUGAUCAAGAGACGCACACAGCGCGGUCCAGGGUACUACGCCACAGCUGCAAACGGAUGCAAUUCCAGCGAGCUGCCCAUGAUGAUCAGCAGAUCGCACUCCUUGAAGUCUCCAUCCAAACUUUUGUGGAACUUCUCGGGCAAGUCUUCUCCUAAGAAAACAAUAUCCGGCUUCACAAUUUUCUUGCAUGCCGUGCACUUGGGCAGCCGAUCAGCGAAGAUCUCCUCCUUCAUCCAGGCAAUGCCGUAUUCCUUCUUGCACUUAAUGCAGUGGUUUGUGUGGAAGCUGCCAUGGGCCUCGACCAGCUUGUCUUCCGGCACGCCCGCCAGCCGGUCCAGCGUUCGGCCAGUUGUAAGAUUUUGAGUGUGUACAAUUUUAAAUAAAUAAAACAAAACUCUAC